rnacentral:rRNA from 1 species
AGAGUUUGAUCCUGGCUCAGGACGAACGCUGGCGGCGUGCUUAACACAUGCAAGUCGAGCGAUGAAGUUUCUUCGGAAAUGGAUUAGCGGCGAACGGGUGAGGAACACGUGAAGAAUCUGCCCUCCACUUUGGGAUAACACCGGGAAACCGGUGCUAAUACUGAAUAUUGAAACAUAAGUGGCAUCACUGAGUUUUGAAAGAAUUUCGGUGGAGGAUGACUUCGCGGCCUAUCAGCUAGUUGGUGAGGUAAUGGCUCACCAAGGCAACGACGGGUAGCCGGCCUGAGAGGGCGACCGGCCACACUGGGACUGAGACACGGCCCAGACUCCUACGGGAGGCAGCAGUGGGGAAUAUUGGGCAAUGGAGGAAACUCUGACCCAGCGACGCCGCGUGCGGGAUGAACGGCCUCCGGGUUGUAAACCGCUUUCAGUAGGGAAGAAGCGAAAGUGACGGUACCUACAAAAGAAGCACCGGCUAACUAUGUGCCAGCAGCCGCGGUAAUACAUAG